UUUCUCUCGCCAGGCGUCCUCGUGGAAGGUUCGUGUGUUAGAUGGGCGCCAGGGGCCGGCAGUGGGAAGCAGGGAGGGGUUUUUGGGGGCCUUUGGGAACAUGGAGUCCUAUCCUGUUCCGCCUGGGGCCUCGGUAGCGGCUUGCACGCCCCAAGAUGACGGCCGCUGCCCUAGGCUGGGCCGGCGGGCGCUUGCGCGUGUCCUGCUCCUCGUAGGCCCGGGACCGGCGGAUGGGUGUCGGGGUGACCAGGCCUGAGCUCCCUAUUUCUCCUCAGUGACAUCGUCUUUAAACCCUGCGUGGCAAUCCCUGACGCACCGCCGUGAUGCCCAGGGAAGACAGGGCGACCUGGAAGUCCAACUACUUCCUUAAGAUCAUCGUAAGUGCAGGGUGGGUCGUCUCUGCCCUUCAUGUUGCCCCAGCGCAAAUAGGGACAGUCAGCUGCUAUGUGCUGAGGGUCUGCUCAGUACCGGCUACUGAAUUAGGCCAUUUUUGGGAAAAUCCUGUUUAGUUAACAAUUUCCUGAGAUAGGUCCUUUCCGUUGCACAUAAACAGGCUCAGGGAAGUUAAGUGGCUUCUAAGAUGACAGCAUUCAUAUCCAGGUCUGUCUGGCUUCCAAAAGAGCGCGCUUUAUACUUUUUUCUUUUUUUUUUUAACGGAGUCUUGCUCUGUUGUCCAGGCUGGAGUGCAGUGGCUUGAUCUUGGCUCACUGCAACCUCCGCUUCCCAGGUUCAAGCGAUUCUCUUGCUUCAGCCUCCCGAGUAGCUGGGACUACAGGGGCGCGACACCACACCCAGCUAAUUUUUGUAUUUUUAGUAGAGACGGAUUAAUUUUUGUAUUUUCAGUAGAGACAGGGAUUCACCAUGUUGGCCAGUAUGGUCUUGAUCUCUUGACUUCAUGAUCCACCUGCCUCGGCCUCCCUAAGUGCUAGGAUUACAGGCGUGAGCCACCGCCCGGCCGCACAUUACAGUUUUACUCCAUUUUUGAGAAGGUCUAAGGCCAGGAAUGACUCAUUGUAAGGAAGCAAGUUGUUGCAUAUUUAGGACCUGUCAGCCAAGAAACUUAAGUGUCCAGUGACUUUUGGAUGGCCUUUGAGGUGGGUCUCCCUUGCCCAGAAAUGCUGACUGUACUGCGCUUAAGCAAUUAGGCAGCAUUGUAGAACAUAGCUUGUAAUACAUUUUUCCACACUUAGAAGGUUUUCAGACACAAAACCCAAAAUAAUUGUGUAACAGUCCAGAUAAACACACCUAGAUUGUUUUUACAAAUAAUAAUAUUGCUAAUAUUGCUAUAUUUGCUUAAUGUUGUGCUUUUAAUGCUGUGAAUCUAGCCCUCCUCUUGACCAACUUACUUGGAACAUUACUUUUUUAUCCUGUUAACCAUUUUAGUGAAUCAGAAACAUGCCUGGUAAUUGGGAAAAAUUAAAAACUAAGUAAAAACUUAAAGAAAAAACUUGAUUGAAUGUAGAAACCUAAUUUUCAGCAUUCAUACCCAGCUAGCCAAUCAUUCAGUUUGGCAGUGUUACAACGCAGCUCCCAAUCUCCCUCUGACUUCAGAAGCUUAGAAGAAAGGGAGUGGGAUGGAAAGAAAUUGUGGGGUUCAGUUUCUUCUGGCAUUUUUUUCCCUCUUUCUUCCUGUUAAACUUGGCUCCUCUGGCUUGUUUUUGUAGCAACUAUUGGAUGAUUAUCCGAAAUGUUUCAUCGUGGGAGCAGACAAUGUGGGCUCCAAGCAGAUGCAGCAGAUCCGCAUGUCCCUUCGCGGGAAGGCCGUGGUGCUGAUGGGCAAGAACACCAUGAUGCGCAAGGCCAUCCGAGGGCACCUGGAAAACAACCCAGCUCUGGAGAAACUGCUGCCUCAUAUCCGGGGGAAUGUGGGCUUUGUGUUCACCAAGGAGGACCUCACUGAGAUCAGGGACAUGUUGCUGGCCAAUAAGGUGCCAGCUGCUGCCCGUGCUGGUGCCAUUGCCCCAUGUGAAGUCACUGUGCCAGCCCAGAACACUGGUCUCGGGCCCGAGAAGACCUCCUUUUUCCAGGCUUUAGGUAUCACCACUAAAAUCUCCAGGGGCACCAUUGAAAUCCUGAGUGAUGUGCAGCUGAUCAAGACUGGAGACAAAGUGGGAGCCAGCGAAGCCACACUGCUGAACAUGCUCAACAUCUCCCCCUUCUCCUUUGGGCUGGUCAUCCAGCAGGUGUUCGACAAUGGCAGCAUCUACAACCCUGAAGUGCUUGAUAUCACAGAGGAAACUCUGCAUUCUCGCUUCCUGGAGGGUGUCCGCAAUGUUGCCAGUGUCUGUCUGCAGAUUGGCUACCCAACUGUUGCAUCAGUACCCCAUUCUAUCAUCAACGGGUACAAACGAGUCCUGGCCUUGUCUGUGGAGACGGAUUACACCUUCCCACUUGCUGAAAAGGUCAAGGCCUUCUUGGCUGAUCCAUCUGCCUUUGUGGCUGCUGCCCCUGUGGCUGCUGCCACCACAGCUGCUCCUGCUGCUGCUGCAGCCCCAGCUAAGGUUGAAGCCAAGGAAGAGUCGGAGGAGUCGGACGAGGAUAUGGGAUUUGGUCUCUUUGACUAAUCACCAAAAAGCAACCAACUUAGCCAGCUUUAUUUGCAAAACAAGGAAAUAAAGGCUUACUUCUUU
rnacentral:sRNA from 1 species